rnacentral:rRNA from 1 species
UGGUAAUACCGGAUGCUCCGCUCCAUCGCAUGGUGGGGUGGGAAAUGCUUUUGCGGCAUGGGAUGGGGUCGCGUCCUAUCAGCUUGUUGGCGGGGUGAUGGCCCACCAAGGCGUUGACGGGUAGCCGGCCUGAGAGGGUGACCGGCCACAUUGGGACUGAGAUACGGCCCAGACUCCUACGGGAGGCAGCAGUGGGGAAUAUUGCACAAUGGGCGCAAGCCUGAUGCAGCGACGCCGCGUGCGGGAUGGAGGCCUUCGGGUUGUAAACCGCUUUUGUUCAAGGGCAAGGCACGGUUUCGGCCGUGUUGAGUGGAUUGUUCGAAUAAGCACCGGCUAACUACGUGCCAGCAGCCGCGGUAAUACGUAGGGUGCGAGCGUUAUCCGGAUUUAUUGGGCGUAAAGGGCUCGUAGGCGGUUCGUCGCGUCCGGUGUGAAAGUCCAUCGCCUAACGGUGGAUCUGCGCCGGGUACGGGCGGGCUGGAGUGCGGUAGGGGAGACUGGAAUUCCCGGUGUAACGGUGGAAUGUGUAGAUAUCGGAAAGAAACACCA